UCUGAUCGAACGAGAGAGAAGAAAGAUAUGUGAUCGACGUCCGGAGAAAAAGCUAGGCUUUCUCAGUCCUCGCUCGCUGCUCUCAAAUUGCAACAGGCAAGGGAGGUUGGGAGUGAUGGGAGCUCACACAACUCUGAUCCCAUUUUACCACAACCCCACCAAUUCUUGCCUUUUUUUGUCUGUUUAUAGGGAGCUUUUGCUGGGGCAUUUGGGGCAGGAAUCGGGUGUAUCUGGUUGAAACCGAAAUACUGGGGCCAAUCUUUUCUUUGUGCAAGUCAGGUUAUCAUGAAGGCUUGAAUAUUUGACUGAGUAGGGGAAGAAAAAAUUCUUACGCAAGUUCAAGUAUCAUUUAGUGCAUAUCUCACCACUCCCCUCAAUGGGAUCAAUACAAGAGGUCAGGUCCCCUGAUCAACCUUGAGAGUCUUGGGGACAAAAUUGAGGGGCUAUUGACUGAAAAUAUACUCAGUAAAGUUUUGUUGAUUGUUAUUUCAAACUGGCCUUUCAACAUCGUCGCCAAGAUGGGCAACUUGCCUUUCAAUCUGCCUUUCAAUCUGGUUGUAUUACUCAUUGGCUUACAGUUAAAUGUGAUAGCAAAAGGAUUUUCUAAGAAUGUUUGUUGUGAACUUUAGGUCAAUUAAUGCCUGGAUGCAAUUCGUUGCAUAUGGAUGUUCAAAGAUAGCAGUCUUCUGGAUUACACUUUAUAAUCCACAGCUUCAGCUCCUACUUUUAACGGUUGUGAUAUUUGUGAGAGACCAUUUCAAAGGACUGAGAAUAAGCAAGAAGUUGCUAGCAAGUUAGUAGAGAAAAAGAAUCGCCUUCAGAAUGGGUGGAGUGAUAAAAUUGCACUGAAUUUUUUUCCGUAUCCCAUCUGGUUUGUUGAAUUGAUUGGGGCAUUUCCAUGUAUCAAAGUAAAUAUUUUGUACGAGAAUUUGUGAACUGUUUUCAUGUAAUAUGUGUACAUACAUAUAAAGAUAAUGAAAAGAAGGUUUUUAUGUUGCUUUUCUA